GGGGGGACCACCCUCCAACCCUAAAUACUACCCAGUGACCGAUAGCGUAUAGUACUGUGAAGGAAAGGUGAAAAGCACCCCGGGAGGGGAGUGAAAAAGAACCUGAAACCCUGUGCCUACAAGCACCUAGAGCGCGUCAAUGCGUGAUAGGGUACUUUUUGUAGAACGGUCCGGCGAGCGAUUGUAUGCAGCAAGGUUAAGGACUUAAGGUCUGGAGCCGAAGCGAAAGCGAGUUUGAAAAGGGCGUUAAGUUGCAUAUAAUGGGCCCGAAACCGGGUGACCUACCCAUGGUCAGGUUGAAGUGGAAGUAAAAUUCCAUGGAGGACCGAACCGACCUCCGUUGAAAAGGCGGCGGAUGAACUGUGGGUAGCGGAGAAAUUCCAAUCGAACCCGGAGAUAGCUGGUUCUCCCCGAAAUAGUUUUAGGACUAGCCUCAAGUUAGAUACCUGGAGGUAAAGCACUGAAUAGCCUAGCGGCCGAGAGGUUAGCGAAGCUUAUCAAACUCAGAAUGCCAGAGUAUUGAUGCUUGGGAGUCAGACAGUGUCAGAUAAAUGUCAUUGUCAAAAGGGAAACAGCCCAGAUCUACAGCUAAGGUCCCAAAGUCAGGUUAAGUGGAAAACGAUGUGAAGAUACGCAGACAACCAGGAUGUUGGCUCAGAAGCAGCCACUCAUUCAAAGAGUGCGUAAUAGCUCACUGGUCGAGCGUCUUUGCGCGGAGAAUUUAACGGGGCUAAACCUGACACCGAAGCUUAGGCAAUCCAGCAAUGGAUUGGGUAGGGGAGCGUUGUAUACGCGGUGAAACAGUAGCGCAAGCGGCUGUGGAGUGUAUAGAAGUGAGAAUGCCGGAAUGAGUAGCGCGAAUGCAGUGAGAAUCUGCAUGGCCGAAAGCCUCAGGUUUCUGGAGGAAGGUUCGUCCGCUCCAGGUUAGUCGGGAGCUAAGGUGAGGCCUAACGGCGUAGCCGAUGCACAGACGGUAGAGAUUCCGUCACCACCAAAAGAGUUAAACACAGGGACACAUAUGAAGUCUCGGAGCCGGGUGUUGGUUCCGGUAGCGAUCGAGGGAAAUUAGUACCGAAGUCCGGGAUGGAAGAUGGCGAGAAAAGCUGUGUGUAUUUCUGCGGUGCCCGUACCGCAAACCGACACAGGUAGGUAGGAAGAAGAUUCUAAGGCCAACGGGAGAAGGGUUGUUAAGGAACUCGGCAAAUUGACCCCGUAACUUCGGGAGAAGGGGUGCUCCAGAGAUGGAGCCGCAGAGAAUCGGCCCAAGCAACUGUUUACCAAAAACACAGGUUUGUGCUAAAUCGAAAGAUGACGUAUACGAGCUGACGCCUGCCCGGUGCUGGAAGGUUAAGAGGAGAUGUGCAAGCAUUGAAUCGAAGCCCCAGUGAACGGCGGCCGUAACUAUAACGGUCCUAAGGUAGCGAAAUUCCUUGUCAGGUAAG
rnacentral:rRNA from 1 species